rnacentral:rRNA from 1 species
UACAGAGGGUGCGAGCGUUAAUCGGAAUUACUGGGCGUAAAGCAUGUGCAGACGGGUUGGUAAGUGGUGUAUGAAAGCGUCCGGCUUACCGGGCAAGCGUAUGCCAGACUGCCAGUCUUGAGAGUGGGAGAGGGAUGUUGGGAAUUCCGGGGUGUAGUGGUGAAAUGCGUAGAGAUCCGGAGGAACCCCAGAGGCGAAGGCGGCGCCUGGCCCAUUUCUGACGUUCA